GUGGCUGAUGAUGAGGAUGCCUCCCACUCAUGUUCAAGUUUCCCGACCAUGAGAAGACUCCACACGCACUACCAUCAGAGGCUAU
ensembl:snoRNA SNORD33 Small nucleolar RNA Z195/SNORD33/SNORD32 family